GGAAGUAAAAGUCGUAACAGUUCCGUAGUGAACCUGCGGAGGAUCAUUAAAAAAUAUCACAUUUUGUGAUUUAAUAAUCAUCCUACCUUUGUGAAUUUGUUUGUUGAAAAUUUAUGUUGUCUAUCCUGGCGGUUUUGGAAAAGUUGAAAAACUUUUUCAAAUCUCAGGACUAGCUUCAUAGACUUUUUUAAAUUCAACUUUUGUAUUCAUUUGUCUAAAUUUAUUUUAAUAAUUUAAAACAACUUUUGACAAUGGAUCUCUGUUCUCGCAACGAUGAAGAACGCAGCAAAUGCGAUAAGUAAUGUGAAUGCGAAUACGUGAAUCAUCAAUCUUCGAACCAUAUUGCACUUUUUAGUUUACAAAAAGUAUGUCUGUUUGAGUAUCAGUAAAAUAUUCUCAUAAAAACAUUUUGUUUUUAUGGUUAUGGUGUUUUACAACGAUAACAGUUGUUUCACUUAAAUUGAUUUUUUAAAAUAAGCCAAUUUGGUUUUAUUUCUAAAUUGGAUAAAAUUUUCCCGUAAAAGAAUAAACUUUCAGUUUUAAAAUAAAUCUUGAUUGACUUUGUAAAAGAAAUUUAUUAAAUAACUUGAUCUCAAAUCAAUAAGAGUACCGCUAACUUAAGCAUAUCAAUAAGCGAGGAAAGAAACUAACAAGGAUUCCCUUAGUAACGGCGAGUGAAGCGGGAAAGCUCAAUUUGAAAUCUUCAAGUUCUACUUGACGAAUUGUAGUUUAUAGAAGUGUUUUCUGUUAGUAGAGUGAAAAGUUUUUGGAAUAGGACAUAAGAGGGUGAGAAUCCGUAUUUGGUCAUUCUUUCUAGCUUUGUGAUACACUUUCACGAGUCGGAUUGUUUGGAAUGCAGUCCAAAAUGGGUGGUAAAUUUCAUCUAAAGCUAAAUAUUGGCGAGAGACCGAUAGCGAACAAUACGUGAGGAAAGAUGAAAGAACUUUGAAAAGAGAGUUAAACAGUACGUGAAAUUGUCAAAAGGAAGCGUUUGACACCAGUGUUGUUUUUCCGAAAUCAAUUACGAAUGUUUUUUUGAGAAGUUAUGACUCAUCGGCUUGCUUCUCUCUUUAUGAAACUUCUUAAUGCACUUUUCGGUUACAAGUCACCAUCAAUUUCUUUGUUGUAAAAGGUAUGAGGAAGGUGCUUUCUUUUCGGAGAAGUGUUUAUAGCCUUGUACCUCUGCAAUCGGAGAGAUUGAGGUCUGCAGCGUAGAUCUUCGGGUUAGAUACAUUUGUGCUAAGUUAUAGCUUUC
rnacentral:misc_RNA from 1 species